rnacentral:miRNA from 1 species
AAGGAGCGAUUUGGAGAAAAUAAA